UGAGGAAUAUUGGACAAUGGGCGAAAGCCUGAUCCAGCCAUGCCGCGUGUGUGAAGAAGGUCUUCGGAUUGUAAAGCACUUUAAGUUGGGAGGAAGGGCAGUAACCUAAUACGUUGCUGUCUUGACGUUACCGACAGAAUAAGCACCGGCUAACUCUGUGCCAGCAGCCGCGGUAAUACAGAGGGUGCAAGCGUUAAUCGGAAUUACUGGGCGUAAAGCGCGCGUAGGUGGUUAGUUAAGUUGGAUGUGAAAUCCCCGGGCUCAACCUGGGAACUGCAUUCAAAACUGACUGACUAGAGUAUGGUAGAGGGUGGUGGAAUUUCCUGUGUAGCGGUGAAAUGCGUAGAUAUAGGAAGGAACACCAGUGGCGAAGGCGACCACCUGGACUGAUACUGACACUGAGGUGCGAAAGCGUGGGGAGCAAACAGGAUUAGAUACCCUUGUAGUCCCUGAGCGGGCUGGCAAGGCGCAU
rnacentral:rRNA from 1 species